rnacentral:lncRNA from 1 species
AAGGAGUUCUUAGGCUAAGCUGGGAGUUUGGAAGCUAGACAGGACAAAAAUCAAGUUCACAAACUACAAUCAAGAAGAAUACAUCUGAACCUUGCCCUUCAGGUUUGCAAACCACAAAGACUUGUGGGGACAUCAGAAGAAGGAUGACCCAAGUAUGGAAUGAUGCCAUUAGAUCCUGGAGAAGAAGACAUCAGCAGCUAGGAUGUACCCUCUGACACUCUGUCUUGGAUGCCCUCUCUCUGGGUCAAGCAGCUCUUUGCCAUGUCACUAG